AUUGAACGCUGGCGGCAGGCCUAACACAUGCAAGUCGAACGAGUGGCGGACGUGUGAGUAAUGUCUGGGAAACCGCCUGAUGGAGGGGGAUAACAAAUGGAAACGGUAGCUAAUAACGCAUACUAUCAGAUGUGCCCAGAUGGGAUUAGCUAGUUGGUGGGGUAACGGCUCACCAAGGCGACGCUCCCGAGCUGGUCUGAGAGGAUGCCCAGCCAGCCGGGAACGGAGACACGGUCCAGACUCCUGCGGGAGGCAGCAGUGGGGAAUAUUGCACAAUGGGCGCAAGCCUGAUGCAGCCAUGUGGCGUGUAUGAAGAAGGCCUUCGGGUUGUAAAGUACGUUCAGCGGGGAGGCGUUACCCGCAGAAGAAGCACCGGCUAACUCCGUGCCAGCAGCCGCGGUAAUAC
rnacentral:rRNA from 1 species